rnacentral:rRNA from 1 species
AACGAACGCUGGCGGCAUGCCUAACACAUGCAAGUCGAACGAGACCUUCGGGUCUAGUGGCGCACGGGUGCGUAACGCGUGGGAACCUGCCCUUAGGUUCGGAAUAACUCCCCGAAAGGGGUGCUAAUACCGGAUAAUGUCUUCGGACCAAAGAUUUAUCGCCUUUGGGUGGGCCCGCGUUGGAGUAGCUAGUUGGUAGGGUAAAAGCCUACCAAGGCGACGCUCCAUAGCUGGUCUGAGGGGAUGAUGAGCCACACUGGGACUGAGACACGGCCCAGACUCCUACGGGAGGCAGCAGUGGGGAAUAUUGGACAAUGGGCGAAAGCCUGAUCCAGCAAUGCCGCGUGAGUGAUGAAGGCCUUAGGGUUGUAAAGCUCUUUUACCCGGGAUGAUAAUGACAGUACCGGGAGAAUAAGCUCCGGCUAACUCCGUG